UAGUUAUAAACAAACUCUUGAAACAAAAAAGAAUGACAUUUUAUUGUUUUUUAGGGUUUUCGACAUAGGAGAUAGAAAGGGUGACUGAAAAAUGGUCUGGAGUAACACAGCUGCCUAAGCACUUCCACCUUUUUCCUGCAUUCACGUGACUCUGAUAUACUUGUGCACACCUCCUUCACUGCUGUAAGCUGAGUAUGGGACAGAAAGGAAAG
rnacentral:lncRNA from 1 species